rnacentral:tRNA from 2 species
GCCGGUGUAGCUCAGUUGGUAGAGCAGCUGACUUGUAAUCAGAAGGUCGGGGGUUCGACUCCUCUCUCCGGCA